ensembl:lncRNA
GUUUUUAUGAGGAAUGUGAUGUUUUAAUUUCUCUUUAAUUUCUCUGAAUAACUGCAGUCUAAUGCAACAGCUGGAAUUGUAACAUCUGUCCUGAUAUUGAGCAUGAAGUAUUGAUCAGAAUACUUAUGGUUAGCAGUCAUCCCUGAAGUUUUACAUUCAAAUCUUUACUUGUGUUGUGAACUUUGGUAAGAAGCAGAAACUUUAGCGUUGCCAUGGAUACAUGAGUGUUAAAUUCUGUCCAUGUUUCCAUUUUGGGAAAUUCAGUCCAGCAGAUGAGUUUGUUUUUACUGCCAGCUACCAUUCAGUCUGAGAUAUUAAGAAUAAAUAAAUAAAUAAAUGUGCAUAAUGUGGAAAUGAACAGAUUUUAUUUUUAUUUAUUCCUACAGCAUGUAAAGUUCCAGAAUGUGGAGGAAUUUAGUCUCACAAUCACAGACAAUAAAUAUUAUCUGAAAGUCGGGUUAUUAUUGUUUAUCAGCACAAUACAAAAAGAUUCAUGUUAGAAAUAUUCCAGUUAAGACUCUAGAAUAUCAUGAUUUAUGUAAAUUUACCUCAAUAAUAUGAAUGUUCAGGUUAAGAUUGUGCAGUGAUAUUUAUUAUGUAAGUUUAGCUGAUUAAAGUUUAUGACGCUGCACUACAAUAUUUAUUAUUUAAAUUUACAUCAUUAUUAUAAUAUUUAGGCUCAGACCCUACAGUACUGAGAUUAAGAAAUCAAAUAUUCUAUAAAAUCUAAAUACACUGAACUCAUUUGGAUAUAUUUAAGUGAGACUCUACAAUAUUAUUUAUGACACAAAUCUAUCUAAAUCAAAAUUUUAAUCAUUUUUACUCCAAACAUUUACUGGACUGAUUUAAAUAUUAAAAUCACUCCUUUCUAAUCCUCUGCUGUAUGUUCAAACCUGAGGCCUUAAAUAGAAACACACAAGUAUCUGAUUGAAGGAACUUCUGCAGAGUCCUGGUUCCACAACAUGAUGAUAGAAUUAUAGACAAACUUUAACAAAAGCUGCCUGAGAGUUUACAGCUUUUUAUGUUAGAUUUCUUCAGUAAUUUAAUGAGAGUUAUCAGCAAAAAUCAGGUGUUCAUUUGAUGAACUUCAUUUCCUAAAACAUCCAGAAUUGGAGCUCAUAUCUUUGGCAGCUGUAAAGUUUCUGCUCCUUCAAAGUUCACAACACAAUGAAUGAAUUCCUAAAACACUCUCAAUGCUGGAGAGCGUUUGAUGCUGAAGCAGUGACCAGUUUUUCUGUUUCUUCUCUGGAGAUGCACAAUGAGGGACAUCUGCAGAGACUGAGAAAGAGUCUCACCACAUCCUGACAUGAGGAAAAAGACUUUAUUGAAGACUACAAUGAGAAAAACUAUCAGACAGCAGACGGCUGCAUUCAAGAGAGGAAGACCAUCAAACAUCCACGUCAGCUGAUGGAGGUCCAAGAGUCUCACCCAACAAACAACCUACAGAGUGAAGACCUCCAAUCUGAUUGGACGGCCUCCUAUUCAGCCACAUUUUAGGCUGUUAGAUUGUUCCAGAUAAGACAAGUACAAGAUUCUUCAGAGCUGUUCUACCACGAGCCUGACAGGAAGAACUCCAACAGCUACUGAAUGUUCCUGUGGUUCCCUCAAGGCUACAGGAGGAGCCCUACGAGGACGAGCUGGUCCACCUGAUGGUGGCCAGUCGCUGCGGUUCAAAGCCAACACCGACUACGUGGACUUCUACUGGACCACACGGAGGCCUUCAAACCGGACCAACAAGUUCAGCGACUCCCCGACUCGUGGGUCUGAGGACACUGCCGAGCCUCGGUCCAGCCGGCCUCCUGUCUGUGGGUGUUUGAGUGCUGAGAGGUUUGUGGAUGCAUGUGAACGUUCUGUGUUGAAACAGCAGCUUUGGACUCAGUAACGCCGGGAAAAACCAAGAGCUCCUUUAUUUG